rnacentral:lncRNA from 1 species
CCACAGCAAUCCAAGUCCUUCAGGUAGCACUCUCACAAAACCCGCAAACCCACAAAAAAAUUAUCUUCAUAUUUUUUGAUUCUUUGAUCAAUUGCAAUUUUUUUCAGGGAUUUGUAUAACAACAUGGAGGGUCAGAAUUCACAGCAAGUCAACUACUUCAGCAAUCCUAAUCUCCCUGAUCAUCACCCCCCUUACAUCCCUCCUUGUAUUUAAUCUAAUUUUUCAGUGAUUGCGUUGUGUUCGUAAUUAUUAACGAAUUUAAUCACUAUUUCCUGAUUUGUAUUUGAUUUUCUGUUCUGGGUUUCAGUUCAAGUAGCAAAAUUGGCUCCUGACGGGGUUCAAGAAGAAAAUGGGAUGGAUUUACGGUGGAAUUUUGGGCUAGAGACCAAGAAAAUCCUUCCCAAAGAAAAGGAUUUUCUGGAGACUAAUACAAACAAUGCUAGCAAUAACAAUAAUAAUUCCCAGAUUUCUGUUGAUUUUUUGCAGGCCCGGUCAGUGUCAACUGGGCUAGGGUUGUCACUGGAAAAUCCCCG